GGUCAAGCUACUAAGGGCGUACGGUGGAUGCCUAGGCGCUAAGAGUCGAAGAAGGGCGCGGUUAACAGCGAAAUGCCACGGGGAAUCGUAAGCAGGUAUUGAUCCGUGGAUACCCGAAUGGGGCAACCCAACCGGAGUCAUGUCCGGUUAUCAUUAGCUGAAUCCAUAGGUUAAUGAAGACAACCCGGGGAACUGAAACAUCUAAGUACCCGGAGGAAAAGAAAGAAUCAUCGAUUCCCUAAGUAGCGGCGAGCGAACGGGGAAGAGCCCAAACCAGUCCCCUUGGGGGCUGGGGUUGUAGGACCCUCUUUUAAGAAUGGAUUUCUAGUCGAACAGAUCUGGAAAGGUCGAGCAAAGAAGGUAACACUCCUGUAGACGAAAGGAAAACAUUCUGUGAGGGAAUCCUGAGUACCGCGGGACACGUGAAACCCCGUGGGAAGCAGGGAGGACCACCUCCCAAGGCUAAAUACUACUUAGCGACCGAUAGCGAACCAGUACCGUGAGGGAAAGGUGAAAAGCACCUCGGAAGAGGAGUGAAAAAGAACCUGAAACCGUGCGCUUACAAGCAGUCACAGCACGUAAGGUGUAGUGGCGUGCCUUUUGUAGAAUGAACCGGCGAGUUACGGUAUGUAGCGAGGUUAAGACGGGAAGUCGGAGCCGAAGCGAAAGCGAGUCUGAAAAGGGCGAAGAGUUACAUGCUGUAGACCCGAAACCGUGUGAUCUACCCAUGGCCAGGGUGAAGGUGGGGUAAAACCCACUGGAGGCCCGAACUCACUGUCGUUGAAAAGGCAGGGGAUGAGCUGUGGGUAGGGGUGAAAUGCCAAUCGAACACGGAGAUAGCUGGUUCUCCCCGAAAUAGCUUUAGGGCUAGCCUCAAUUGAUGAAUGACGGCGGUAGAGCACUGAAUAGGCUAGGGGCCUUACCAGGUUACCGAACCUUAUCAAACUCCGAAUGCCGUUAUGUUUAGAUUGGGAGUCAGACUGUGGGUGAUAAGAUUCAUAGUCAAAAGGGAAACAGCCCAGACCAUCAGCUAAGGUCCCCAAGUAUACACUAAGUGGGAAAGGAUGUGGAAUUGCUCAGACAACCAGGAUGUUGGCUCAGAAGCAGCCACCAUUUAAAGAGUGCGUAAUAGCUCACUGGUCGAGUGGUUCUGCGCCGAAAAUGUAACGGGGCUCAAGUGUAUCACCGAAGCUAUGGCUUGCGCUUCAUGCGCAGGGGUAGGGGAGCGUUCUAUCAGCAGAGAAGUCAAACUGGAAGGUUUGGUGGAGUGGAUAGAAGUGAGAAUGCCGGUAUGAGUAUGCGAAAAGGAAGGUGAGAAUCCUUCCCGCCGAAAAUCUAAGGAUUCCUGGGGAAGGCUCGUCCGCCCAGGGUAAGUCGGGACCUAAGCCGAGGCCGAAAGGCGUAGGUGAUGGACAACUGGUUGAAAUUCCAGUACCACCUAGAAAUGUUUGAGCAAUGGGGUGACACAGAAGGAUAGGUUAAGCCAGCCGUUGGUCGAGCUGGCCCAAGCGAGUAGGAUGUAGGGCAGGCAAAUCCGCCCUGCGAGAAUCUGAGACGUGAUGGGGAGUCGAACAUAAGUAGCGAAGUAACCAACUCCAAGCUGUCAAGAAAAGCCUCUAGUGAGUGACUAGGUGCCCGUACCGUAAACCGACACAGGUAGAUGGGGUGAGAAACCUAAGGCGCGCGAGAAAACCCUCGUUAAGGAACUCGGCAAAAUGGCCCCGUAACUUCGGGAGAAGGGGCGCUCUUAGCAAUAAGAGCCGCAGAGAAAAGGUCCAGGCGACUGUUUAACAAAAACACAGGUCCCUGCUAAUCCGAAAGGAGAUGUAUAGGGGCUGACACCUGCCCGGUGCUGGAAGGUUAAGAGGAGAGGUUAGGGGUAACCCGAAGCUUUGAAUUGAAGCCCCAGUAAACGGCGGCCGUAACUAUAACGGUCCUAAGGUAGCGAAAUUCCUUGUCAGGUAAGUUCUGACCCGCACGAAAGGUGUAACGAUCUGGACACUGUCUCAACGAGGGACUCGGCGAAAUUGUAAUACCCGUGAAGAUGCGGGUUACCUGCGACAGGACAGAAAGACCCCAUGGAGCUUUACUGCAGCUUGACAUUGGAUUUUGGUAUAAAAUGUACAGGAUAGGUGGGAGACUAAGAAGCUAGGGCGCCAGCCUUGGUGGAGUCGACGGUGGGAUACCACUCUUUUUGUACUGAAAUUCUAACCUGGGCCCCUGAAUCGGGGUUAGGGACAGUAUCAGGUGGGCAGUUUGACUGGGGCGGUCGCCUCCUAAAGAGUAACGGAGGCGCCCAAAGGUUCCCUCAGCGCGGUUGGAAAUCGCGCGCAGAGUGUAAAGGCAAAAGGGAGCUUGACUGCGAGACCAACAAGUCGAGCAGGGACGAAAGUCGGGCUUAGUGAUCCGGUGGUACCGAGUGGAAGGGCCAUCGCUCAACGGAUAAAAGCUACCCUGGGGAUAACAGGCUUAUCUCCCCCAAGAGUCCAUAUCGACGGGGAGGUUUGGCACCUCGAUGUCGGCUCAUCGCAUCCUGGGGCUGUAGUAGGUCCCAAGGGUUGGGCUGUUCGCCCAUUAAAGCGGUACGUGAGCUGGGUUCAGAACGUCGUGAGACAGUUCGGUCCCCUAUCCGUCGCAGGCGCAGGAAAUUUGAGAGGAUCUGUCCCUAGUACGAGAGGACCGGGAUGGACGAAUCCCUGGUGUACCAGUUGUUUCGCCAGAGGCACAGCUGGGUAGCUAUAUUCGGAUCGGAUAAGCGCUGAAAGCAUCUAAGCGCGAAACCGGCCUCAAGAUGAGAUUUCCCACGAGCGUAAGCUCGGUAAGACCCCUGAAGGAAGAUCAGGUAGAUAGGCCAGGUGUGGAAGCGCGGUGACGUGUGGAGCUGACUGGUACUAAUCGGUCGAGGGCUUGACCUA
rfam:Desulfosporosinus orientis DSM 765, complete genome.